rnacentral:rRNA from 1 species
GGGUUGUGAGGUUAAGCGACCAAGCGUACACGGUGGAUGCCCUGGCAGUCAGAGGCGAUGAAGGACGUGCUAAUCUGCGAAAAGCGCCGGUAAGGUGAUAUGAACCGUUAUAACCGGCGAUGUCCGAAUGGGGAAACCCAGUGUGACUCGUCACACUAUCAUUAACUGAAUCCAUAGGUUAAUGAGGCGAACCGGGGGAACUGAAACAUCUAAGUACCCCGAGGAAAAGAAAUCAACCGAGAUUCCCCCAGUAGCGGCGAGCGAACGGGGAGGAGCCCAGAGCCUGAAUCAGCAUAUGUGUUAGUGGAAGCGUCUGGAAAGGCGCGCGAUACAGGGUGACAGCCCCGUACACAAAAGCGCAUGUGCUGUGAGCUCGAUGAGUAGGGCGGGACACGUGGUAUCCUGUCUGAAUAUGGGGGGACCAUCCUCCAAGGCUAAAUACUCCUGACUGACCGAUAGUGAACCAGUACCGUGAGGGAAAGGCGAAAAGAACCCCGGCGAGGGGAGUGAAACAGAACCUGAAACCGUGUACGUACAAGCAGUGGGAGCACAGGUUUACCUGUGUGACUGCGUACCUUUUGUAUAAUGGGUCAGCGACUUAUAUUCUGUAGCAAGGUUAACCGUAUAGGGGAGCCGGAGGGAAACCGAGUCUUAAUUGGGCGUUAAGUUGCAGGGUAUAGACCCGAAACCCGGUGAUCUAGCCAUGGGCAGGUUGAAGGUUGGGUAACACUAACUGGAGGACCGAACCGACUAAUGUUGAAAAAUUAGCGGAUGACCUGUGGCUGGGGGUGAAAGGCCAAUCAAACCGGGAGAUAGCUGGUUCUCCCCGAAAGCUAUUUAGGUAGCGCCUCGUGAAUUCAUCUCCGGGGGUAGAGCACUGUUUCGGCCAGGGGGCCAUCCCGGCUUACCAACCCGAUGCAAACUGCGAAUACCGGAGAAUGUUAUCACGGGAGACACACGGCGGGUGCUAACGUCCGUCGUGAAGAGGGAAACAACCCAGACCGCCAGCUAAGGUCCCAAAGUCAUGGUUAAGUGGGAAACGAUGUGGGAAGGCCCAGACAGCCAGGAUGUUGGCUUAGAAGCAGCCAUCAUUUAAAGAAAGCGUAAUAGCUCACUGGUCGAGUCGGCCUGCGCGGAAGAUGUAACGGGGCUAAACCAUGCACCGAAGCUGCGGCAGCGAACGUAUCACUUAAAGCGAUUCAGCGGAUGACGAUUGACGGAGCGAAGCGACGUCAAAGCGUUUUACAAAGUCGAGUCGGUUUAAGGAUACGUUCGUUGGGUAGGGGAGCGUUCUGUAAGCCUGCGAAGGUGUGUCGUGAGGCAUGCUGGAGGUAUCAGAAGUGCGAAUGCUGACAUAAGUAACGAUAAUGCGGGUGAAAAACCCGCACGCCGGAAGACCAAGGGUUCCUGUCCAACGUUAAUCGGGGCAGGGUGAGUCGACCCCUAAGGCGAGGCCGAAAGGCGUAGUCGAUGGGAAACAGGUUAAUAUUCCUGUACCUGGUGUUACUGCGAAGGGGGGACGGAGAAGGCUAUGUUGGCCGGGCGACGGUUGUCCCGGUUUAAGCGUGUAGGCUGGUUUUCCAGGCAAAUCCGGAAAAUCAAGGCUGAGGCGUGAUGACGAGGCACUACGGUGCUGAAGCAACAAAUGCCCUGCUUCCAGGAAAAGCCUCUAAGCCUCAGGUAACAUCAGAUCGUACCCGAAACCGACACAGGUGGUCAGGUAGAGAAUACCAAGGCGCUUGAGAGAACCCGGGUGAAGGAACUAGGCAAAAUGGUGCCGUAACUUCGGGAGAAGGCACGCUGACACGUAGGUGAAGCGGUUUACCCGUGGAGCUGAAGUCAGUCGAAGAUACCAGCUGGCUGCAACUGUUUAUUAAAAACACAGCACUGUGCAAACACGAAAGUGGACGUAUACGGUGUGACGCCUGCCCGGUGCCGGAAGGUUAAUUGAUGGGGUCAGCGCAAGCGAAGCUCCUGAUCGAAGCCCCGGUAAACGGCGGCCGUAACUAUAACGGUCCUAAGGUAGCGAAAUUCCUUGUCGGGUAAGUUCCGACCUGCACGAAUGGCGUAAUGAUGGCCAGGCUGUCUCCACCCGGGACUCAGUGAAAUUGAACUCGCUGUGAAGAUGCAGUGUACCCGCGGCAAGACGGAAAGACCCCGUGAACCUUUACUAUAGCUUGACACUGAACACUGGUCCUUGAUGUGCAGGAUAGGUGGGAGGCUUUGAAGUGUGGACGCCAGUCUGCAUGGAGCCGUCCUUGAAAUACCACCCUUUAAUGGCUGGUGUUCUAACGUAGACCCGUGAACCGGGUUGCGGACAGUGUCUGGUGGGUAGUUUGACUGGGGCGGUCUCCUCCUAAAGCGUAACGGAGGAGCACGAAGGUUGGCUAAUCCUGGUCGGACAUCAGGAGGUUAGUGCAAUGGCAUAAGCCAGCUUGACUGCGAGCGUGACGGCGCGAGCAGGUGCGAAAGCAGGUCAUAGUGAUCCGGUGGUUCUGAAUGGAAGGGCCAUCGCUCAACGGAUAAAAGGUACUCCGGGGAUAACAGGCUGAUACCGCCCAAGAGUUCAUAUCGACGGCGGUGUUUGGCACCUCGAUGUCGGCUCAUCACAUCCUGGGGCUGAAGUAGGUCCCAAGGGUAUGGCUGUUCGCCAUUUAAAGUGGUACGCGAGCUGGGUUUAGAACGUCGUGAGACAGUUCGGUCCCUAUCUGCCGUGGGCGCUGGAGAACUGAGGGGGGCUGCUCCUAGUACGAGAGGACCGGAGUGGACGCAUCACUGGUGUUCGGGUUGUCAUGCCAAUGGCACUGCCCGGUAGCUAAAUGCGGAAGAGAUAAGUGCUGAAAGCAUCUAAGCACGAAACUUGCCCCGAGAUGAGUUCUCCCUGAGACUACAAGUCUCCUGAAGGAACGUUGAAGACGACGACGUUGAUAGGCCGGGUGUGUAAGCGCAGCGAUGCGUUGAGCUAACCGGUACUAAUGAACCGUGAGGCUUAACCUUACAACGCCGAAG